rnacentral:rRNA from 1 species
UGGGGAAUAUUGCACAAUGGGCGCAAGCCUGAUGCAGCCAUGCCGCGUGUAUGAAGAAGGCCUUCGGGUUGUAAAGUACUUUCAGAGGGGAGGAAGGCGAUGUGGUUAAUAACCGCGUCGAUUGACGUUACCCGCAGAAGAAGCACCGGCUAACUCCGUGCCAGCAGCCGCGGUAAUACGGAGGGUGCAAGCGUUAAUCGGAAUUACUGGGCGUAAAGCGCACGCAGGCGGUCUGUCAAGUCGGAUGUGAAAUCCCCGGACUCAACCUGGGAACUGCAUCCGAAACUGGCAGGCUUGAGUCUCGUAGAGGGGGGUAGAAUUCCAGGUGUAGCGGUGAAAUGCGUAGAGAUCUGGAGGAAUACCGGUGGCGAAGGCGGCCCCCUGGACGAAGACUGACGCUCAGGUGCGAAAGCGUGGGGAGCAAACA